rnacentral:lncRNA from 1 species
GUCUGGCAGUGCAAGAGAGGCUGCCAUGAGUGUGCUAAGUUUCUGAUUUCUGUGAUCAUAGCAAGAUUGUCCUAAAUUAGACACAAGUUUGGCUUUGAAUGCAGCUGCUUAAUCUACUGACUAUCUGCCGACUUGAACACAGUUGCCGUUCUCCCCUGAAGUGACAGAUUAAGUUUGUGGAGCAGGUUGAAUGUGUCACACAAACUUUGAAUGUUUGAGACUACCUUGGCCACCAGAUUGUGUUACCUGGAAGUUUGGUCCCAAGCAAGAAGCCACAGGGAGAGACAGCGAGGCAACUCUAUGCACAUGCAAUGAACACUGAGACUGAUAUCACUGAGACUUUCAGAGGACAAUGGACUCAUUAUGGAUCUCACAUCUUUCCUAGACUCUGUUCUUUGCUCUUGGGUCUUCUCUACUCAGACUACCUGCCCCCAAAUGCUCCAUCCUCACCAAAAUAUAAAGAUUGAGAAGAAAGUGGGACAAAGGGUGUGGAAUAAAAAAUGUAAGAUUGGCUAUCACCCCAAGGUGAUCAAAUCUAAUGUUGGCUUUGCUCCAGCGGAUCUGUGACCAAUUUUGUAUCAGUCCCAGAGCACAGCGAGCCUGUUCAGGCUCUUGUAAGUGAGGACCUGUGGUUGAAGAGUAAAAUUUUUGUGACUUUAAUCCUUCUUUUCUCCAGACUGGAGGGUCAUGAUGGUACAGUGGGAAUACCUUGGGCCUGGCUGCCAGGCCGACCUGCACAAAGAUGGUUGUCCCUGUGGGAGGGGCACAGACAUUGUGCAGGUUGCACACAAAAACAGAACUAGGGUCUCUGGCAGCGGAAAUGAGUCAUACAGAGAGCCGUUUAGAGGUUUCUCAAUACAGUUCUUGGGCUUAUUAAGGUUGAGUAAUGGCAAUUAGUGUGGAGGCAAAUUGGAACAACAGUGACAGUGUUGAUUAUGAAGCAAAUGAAGAAGCUCAAAAGGAAGGCAUUUUCUUGGAGUGCCUCAAAGAAUUCUGCCCUUUAAUUAUCUGCCCUCUCAGUGUAGAGAGAGUGAGAUAUCACUGGAAAACACUGGAGGGCCAUUUGUGGUGACACAGAAGCCUCUCAUACAGACAGGAAGCAAAUGAAUGGCAGGGGAUGUGAGUUUGGAUGGAAGGGCUGUCAUGGGGAUUCAGAUUGGAUUCUAGAGUCAGGUGCAUUGUGGUCCUUGCCUGAUGCAGGAGGUUUGGACUCAGAUUUUUCUGAAGACAACAUAAGCAGAGAAACAAGGUGUGAAGACAAGCUUGUUUGAGGAUGUUGGCACCAUGACAAAGUUAUUUACUGUACCCCAUCCCAGUGCCCAGAUGAACAAUAUGAACAUGAUAGGGAUGCAGUUCACAUGUGUUCCAUUUUAGAGUUUGCUUUAAAAAUUUAUAUCCAUGUCAUAACCUUCUGAUUAGGAUUUGAGAGAACUGAUUGUCAAAGUGAACUAUAUUUUUAGGAAAGUGUUAUUUUAUAUUAUUCUGAUGCUAUAAAAGCCAAGAUUGCUAAACUGAAGGACUCUGUAACGUGAGAAGCAUAUCAUAUUCUAAGUAUCCCUAAGGUGUCUCUCUUGACCUCAGCACUAACAGCUGGUAAUGGCAGGGAUUGCUGUUAUUUCACAUGUGACCCACGAUGGUGAGACAUACUCACCCACCCAGGGCGAGGGGGAAGAGGGGAGAUUGCCACAUAUUUCCAGCUGGCAUAGCAAUUGUAGUAUUAAGAAGGUGAAAGAUUCAUAUCUAAUCAAAUAACCUCAGAUAAGUGUGUCCUGGGCUGUUGUCCCUGUGGCUUUAACAAGUCACUUGGUGAUGCACAAACUGAAUGCAGCUGAACUCUGCCCAGGGCUGUGAUGACUGCUUUUCAUAGCUUUGAAUUCUAUUAAAAACCAGAAUGAAAA